UACGAAGGGGGCUAGCGUUGCUCGGAAUUACUGGGCGUAAAGGGCGCGUAGGCGGCUUAGUUAGUCAGGCGUGAAAUUCCUGGGCUCAACCUGGGGACUGCGCUGAUACGGCUAGGCUAGAGGAUGGAAGAGGGCGCGGAAUUCCCAGUGUAGAGGUGAAAUUCGUAGAUAUUGGGAAGAACACCGGGUGGCGAAGGCGGCGACCUGGUCCAUUAC
rnacentral:rRNA from 1 species